rnacentral:rRNA from 1 species
UACGUAGGGUGCAAGCGUUAAUCGGAAUUACUGGGCGUAAAGCGUGCGCAGGCGGUUAUGUAAGACAGGUGUGAAAUCCCCGGGCUUAACCUGGGAAUUGCGUUGGAGACUGCAAGGCUAGAAUCUGGCAGAGGGGGGUAGAAUUCCACGUGUAGCAGUGAAAUGCGUAGAGAUGUGGAGGAACACCGAUGGCGAAGGCAGCCCCCUGGGUCAAGAUUGACGCUCAUGCACGAAAGCGUGGGGAGCAAA